GCGGUUAUACAAAAUAUAUAAAUAAAUUUUAUUAGUUUAUAGUUAAAUGAUGUUUUAAAAAUAAUAAUUUAAUUUUUUAGGUUAAAUUUUAAAUUAAUUAAUUUUUUAUAUUAUAAUUUUGAAGCUAUUAAAUUUUAUUAAUAAACUAGGAUUAGAUACCCUAUUAUUUAAAAUGUAAAUUUUAAAAACUAAAGUAGUAAUAGUUAUAUUCUUGAAACUUAAAAAAUUUGGCGGUAUUUUAGUCUUUUUAGAGGAAUCUGUUCCGUAAUUGAUAAUCCACGUUAUAUUUUACAUAAUUUUAUUUAGUUUGUAUAUCGUCGUUAUAAGAAUAUUUUAUAAGAAUAUAAAAUUUUCUAAAAUUUUUAUUAAAAUUUAUUUCAGAUCAAGGUGCAGCAAUAAUUAUGAGGAAAUGGAUUACAAUAAAUAUAUUUAAAUGGAUAUUAAUAUGAAAUUAUUAAUUGAAAGUGGAUUUAAUAGUAAAUUGAAUAAUAUUAUUUAAUUGAUUUUAGCUCUAAAAUAUGUACACAUCGCCCGUCGCUCUCAUUAUUAAUUUGAGAUAAGUCGUAACAUAGUAGAUGUACUGGAAAGUGUAUCUAGAAUGA
rnacentral:rRNA from 1 species